rnacentral:tRNA from 1 species
AGCAGUGUGGCUCAGUGGAAAGAGCACGGGCUUGGGAGUCAGAGGUCACGGGUUCGAAUCCCGGCUCCGCCA